rnacentral:lncRNA from 1 species
CGUAAUGAAUAUUUUAUCGCAAAAUAAAAUUCGUCUGGGGAAAGAUUAAUUAAUAUCACAUUAUUUAUUAUUAUCCUAAAAUAUCGCGGCGAUAAGAGAAGAGCGAAUACAUUCGUUAUCUAAUCGAUGCUUACUAACAGACGAAUUAUUAUUUCUUUUUUUUAUAUAUAUUUUAGUUUUAGGGUUGCAACCAGUUGCUUUUUCCACGUGCUCCGGUCACGUGAUUCGCUACCGCUGUGACGCGUGCUGGUCAUGUGACCGAGGUUGCCGAGCAAGGACGUCAGAUUUUCUACUUUAUUUUUUUUUCUUUCCCUUCCAGUUUCGACGUGUUUGACCAGCGAAGUGCGAUCAGGAAAUGUAGCUAUCGUUCUCCAAAUAUAUAUAUCCCGCGUUAUGUAAUUCGUAUCCACCGAUAGGCUGCGUGUCGUCAUGGCAACGAUAAUGACGUAAGUGGCUAUCAGUCCGUUAUCCCAGCUGAUGUAAGAUUUUUUUGAGUUUUUAAAUAAGAUAAUUUAUUUUAUUUUUUUUUUAUAACGCGAAUGACUACAUAAUCAGGAUGCAAUUUUUAUUUUAAAUAAAUAUUAUAUGCAUAUUAUGUGGUGUAAUAAAAAUAUUUGAUGGGAUUUAUUUUCCAGAAGAAGAAAAGUCGGUAUCGAUUGGUCAAAUAAUGCAAUGUAGAUCCGAAGUUUAACUGCAGUGUGUGAUAGUUCCAAGCGGGACGAAAGCUUCUGUUAUAUAUUAUUAAAUAGGUGAGUAUUAUAGAUCUCCCGAUCAUAAAAAAUAAUAAAGGUAGAAAAAUCAAGUAAGUUAUAAUAAUAAUAAUAAUAAUAAUUCGUAAAGAAUCGAUUAAAAAAAAUCGUCUGAUAUAUGCACGAAACCAAACGAUAAUUGUGUUAGUAUUUUUUAAAAGUGUGACGUAACUAUGACGAAUUAUUGCUUAUAUAUAUAUUUUUAAUAUUAAUUAAAAGUGUUAAUAAAGAAAUAACAGAACAUUAUCAUAAUUGCUUCUGUUUAUAUAUAUAUAUAGUUAGUUUAAUUUGUGAUAAAAGGUUUGGUUUUAAAAGGCGAAACGACGAAUGAUAAAAUACAGAGAAGGUAUAAGCGGAAUCCCAUUCCACACAUUGACGUCGGCGGAUCACGUGACAGGUGAGCCGAGCGUCGACGUCAUUGGGAUGAGCUUCCCCGCUUGACCUAGAAAUGCAGCCAACUCCCACCAGUCACAUGACGUCGCGUGCCUUUCGCGUAUUCCGUCGGCGCUCAUGACAACCAGCGAGUAAAUAUUUCCGUUUGUUGUCAUAACGACAACAGCGGUUAAAAACCCGCCGCGGUAGUCGCUGGUCUUCCGAAAAAUCGUUCGAUUUAUUUAUUUUUUCAUUUUUUUAUUUAUUUAAAUCCUGGUGUUGGCUGCAAGUCCUAUUCGCGCUUAUUGUCGUACGUAGAAAAAGACUGACUUUAAAUGGAAAUUUUAGAAAACGAGGCGGUUCGGUUGGGUUGCCACCCACUCUCGCUAAAGCUAAAGCGUCGACCGAACGAACGAACGAACGAACAAAAUAGAUAAAUAAAAAUUUAAAAAAAAAAGACGAUUUCCAGUCGGGUAAAGUUAUCGGCACGCGCUCGAGACGUCACGGGGGAUGGUAGCGUCACGUGACCAGGCCACGCUAGUGUUGUCAAAACGCCAAAGGGACACCGAGUCAGCUUCAUCCGAAUCGUCUGAGAUUGUCGAUGUGUCGUCGACGUCGUCUCACUCCGCCAUUGGUCCGCUCGGCAGGUAUCGCAGGUCGUCGGCCCGAAUUAGGUACAGAUGUUUCUUCUUUUGAUAAAACUCGCCUUUGUUCGCUGCCAGGUUAUUGUUAUCGCGGGUAUUGGUCUUUCCCUCUUCCAAUUAAUUCUACUAACCGGUAUUAAUAAAACUUCUUAUUUAUUUAUUUUUUCUACUAACUCGUUUUGUUUCGGAUUUCCUUCUGUUUUUUUUUUUUUUUUUUAUUUUUUAUAUAUAUCAAAAAUAUAAAUUUUUAAUUAUUUUUUUAUACUGUAAUUUAAAAAAUU